GACGAACGCUGGCGGCGUGCCUAACACAUGCAAGUCGAACGGUAAGGCCGUUUCGGGUGUCCCCGAGUGGCGACCGGGGGCGUAACACGUAGGUAACCUGCGCACAACUCUGGGACAACGGUAGGAAAGUGGUGCAACUUCUGGUAAUGUGGUACUGCUGCAAGGUGGGGGUUCGAAAGCUCCGGCGGUGGUGGAUGGACUAGCGGGCUAACAGCUUGUUGGGGGGGUAGUGGGCUACCGAGGCGGCGACGGGGAGCUGGCCAGAGGGAGUGACCGGCCACAUUGAGACUGAGAGACGGCCCAGACUCCGACGGGUGGCAGCAGUGGGGAAUAUUGCACAAGGCGCACAGGCCUGAUGCAGCAACGCCUCGGGCGGGAUGACGGUCUUCGGGUUGGAGACCGCUUUCAGCAUGAACGAAGCUUUUUGUGACGGUACCUGCAGAAGAAGCACCGGCUAACUACGUG
rnacentral:rRNA from 1 species